rnacentral:lncRNA from 14 species
GUGUGCUCCAACGUGGGGAGAAAAGGCCAACAGAAAUUUUGGCCAAGAUCAAAUCUCAUCUGAGAAAGCUAGAGCUGGGAGAAUUGGAGAGGAAGAAAGAAUUUGGAAGGAAGUCAAAGGAAACGAAGUUUAGAAAGUAAGUCAGGACUCAAAGUUAACACCAAAACUCUGAGGGCUUUGCUGAAAAAGGAAGGUAAAAUUCCGAAAAAGGUGUUUGGAUUGUCAUCUCACUGAAACCUCCGCACACUUUUUGGUAGCUGCUACCUGGACGUACUGACCUGAAUAUGAAAAGCCAUGGGGUCAUGUGUCAGUCAAAGCAUGCAGUGAAGCUGAACUCCCCGCUUUCUUUCCAGCAAAGGUUUCUGGUAUCCCUGCCUCUGUGAAUCCAGCCCAGCCAUCUCUGAGAAGCUAAUCAAGCAGAGAGGAAGGAAG